rnacentral:rRNA from 1 species
GACGAACGCUGGCGGCGUGCUUAACACAUGCAAGUCGAGCGGUAAGGCCCUUUCGGGGGUACACGAGCGGCGAACGGGUGAGUAACACGUGGGUGACCUGCCCUCAGCUCUGGGAUAAGCCUGGGAAACUGGGUCUAAUACCGGAUAUGACUCCAUGACGCAUGUUGUGGGGUGGAAAGCCUUGUGCGGCUGAGGAUGGGCCCGCGGCCUAUCAGCUUGUUGGUGGGGUGAUGGCCUACCAAGGCGACGACGGGUAGCCGGCCUGAGGGGCGACCGGCCACACUGGGACUGAGACACGGCCCAGACUCCUACGGGAGGCAGGCAGUGGGGAAUCUUGCGCAAUGGGCGAAAGCCUGACGCAGCGACGCCGCGUGAGGGAUGACGGCC